UCCUAGCCCCGAUAGCAGCGGUUACCCCAAAGCAGUACGGCAUAAGAAAGGGGGCGAGGAGUAUGAGCGGAUAGCGGGAAAGAGC
rnacentral:sRNA from 1 species